AACGGCCGUACCAUGCUGAAUAUACCGGUUCUCUUUAGAUCACCGAAGUUAAGCAUCAUUGGGCGCGGUCAGUACUUGGGUGGGUGACCACCUGGGAACACUGCGUGCCGU
rnacentral:rRNA from 1 species